UUGUUUCACUUUUGUACUUAGGAUAUAAGUGUUGAGCAUGUGUUACAUGAUCUCGCUAUUACUAGAUUUUCUGUUAGCAUGUGCUACUAGACUGUUUGGUUCAUACCAAUAGUCCACCAUUUUUUCCCACUUAUAUGGUCUGAUGGAACUAUUAGAUAACCCUAGGCAUCACUUAUCUCUACUUAUUUCAGAUUAUUAGUCAUUUAUUUAUUAUUAUCAUUUCAGAAUGGGCAUCCUGAGUAUGUGGUAUUAGGCAAUGUCUUUCCUUGUUGUGACUCAAGAUCUACAACAAAAUAAGUUGGGUCUUCUCGGGUUACAUGAGGGUAGAGCACAAGGAAACAGUUUAGAGAGAAAUUUAUAGGGAAGGCCUGGUGUUGUCCCAUGCAACUGGAAAUGAAGACAAGAUUCGGGUGUGGGAAUGAGGAAUUGCAUGUUACAAAUGUUAUCAAGCUGGAGUGGGUGAUUCCACUUGGAAACUGGAGUGGGUGUGUUAGACCAAAGCAUGAUUUAAAGCGGGAUCAUCACCUAGUUAGAAGGAUCAUGCAACUAAGGUAUGGGCUGAUUGUAUUCUUGCCUUAAACUCUUCAGUCUGGUGAAUCCGCUGGAAGGCAUGGGUUUGUAUCUAGUACAAUAAAGUCUAGGAAACAAUUUAAGAGGAAAUAGAAAGAGAAGGGCGAUAACUUUGU